GAAACUCACUAUUUUCACCAUUCCCUUUGUACCUCUGACCUUCGAUCUAAUCGGUUCACAAAUCGUGACCGGUUGCACGGAAGAAAACCCUAACUUUGUCUUCAUCAAACUCAUGUAUAUCAAACACCACUCAACAAAAGGAUCGGUUGAAGAUUUUGGAGAACGGAUCUGGAAGAAAGCAAACAACACAAUAUAUCCAACAAAAACUACGACAUUUGGACGCUCAAACAAUC